rnacentral:rRNA from 1 species
UACGGAGGGUGCAAGCGUUAUCCGGAUUCACUGGGUUUAAAGGGUGCGUAGGUGGGCAGGUAAGUCAGUGGUGAAAUCUCCGGGCUUAACCCGGAACUGCCGUUGAUACUAUUUGUCUUGAAUACUGUGGAGGUAAGCGGAAUAUGUCAUGUAGCGGUGAAAUGCUUAGAUAUGACAUAGAACACCGAUAGCGGAGGCAGCUUGCUACACAGUCAUUGACACUGAGGCACGAAAGCGUGGGGAUCAAACAGG